AAUGUGGGAGUCCACUGCAAUAAUCCAGGAGAGAAAUCAUGUGAGCUUGAGAAGGAAUCAGAUUCUGCAUAUAUUUCCAAGUUAACAUGAACAAGAUUUUCUGAAAGACUGCUAUGGAGUCUGAGAAAAAAUGUCAAAGGUAGUGCCAAAAUUGUCACUUAAAGAACUGCAGGAAUGGAGUUGGCAUUUACAGAAUUUGGAAGAGAAGCAGGUUUAGUGAUAAAGACCAGAAGCACAGAGCUAAGCAUAUUAAAUAUUGAGGACAUGAAGAGGAAAGAACUGACAGAGGAGGUGAAGAAAGGUGAUCAGGAAGAGCCAUCAAAGUGUUAUCCUGGAAUUCAAGUGAAGACAGUGUUUCAAAGUGGAAAUGAACAGUGUCCUGUAACCCUCAGAGUGAGACUAGAGUCAGAAUGCAGGCUUUUCUCAUUUGAAAUCUAUAUGCCACAGAGAGGAUCCAGAGAGCCCAUCUCCGGUCAGUUAUCUGUAUUUGUAUGUCAACUACAGCAUCAAAAAGCAUAGGCAUGGAUACUAAGGACCCCCUCUGUACACCAACGCCAGUCCAAAGGACAGUGUGUCACUGUGAACUGGAAAUUCAUCUCUCUUCUUCAAUUUUUUUCUACCUACUUUAUGCUUUAUCUCUAAGUUGAGGCUGUUUAUGGCCUCAUCCUCAAUUACCUUGUCCCUCAUUACUCCCAGUUAAUGGAGAUUAAGCUUUGUAUCAUGACUUCCUAACUAAAAUUGAAAUCACAAGACAUCACAUAAAUAAAGUUACAAAUGGAUUAGAUAAACAUUC
rnacentral:lncRNA from 1 species